rnacentral:rRNA from 1 species
UACGUAGGGGGCGAGCGUUGUCCGGAAUCACUGGGCGUAAAGAGCGUGUAGGCGGUCUGCCAAGUCUGUUGUGAAAGCGCCUGGCUUAACUGGGCGAGGUCGACGGAAACUGGCAAACUGGAGGCCGUAGAGGAGGGUGGAAUUCCCGGUGUAGUGGUGAAAUGCGUAGAUAUCGUGAGGAACACCAGAGGCGAAGGCGGUUACCUGGACCAGUUACUGAACG